rnacentral:rRNA from 1 species
AACGAACGCUGGCGGCGCGUAUUAAGCAUGCAAGUCGAACGGGAACCUGCCCGCAAGGGGAGGGGAGAGUGGCGAACGGGUGAGUAACACGUAGGUGAUCUAUCCCCGGGUGGGGUAUAGCCCAUGGAAACAUGGGGUAAUACCGCAUGAGGUCCUGGAGCUUGAAGGCUUCUGGAUGAAAGGCGCAAUUGUGUUGCCUGGGGAUGAGCCUGCGGCUCAUUAGCUAGUUGGCGGGGUAAAGGCCCACCAAGGCGACGAUGGGUAGCCGGCCUGAGAGGGUGUACGGCCACACUGGGACUGAGACACGGCCCAGACUCCUACGGGAGGCAGCAGCUAAGAAUCUUCCGCAAUGGGGGAAACCCUGACGGAGCGACGCCGCGUGGACGAAGAAGGCCGCAAGGUUGUAAAGUCCUUUUGCAGACGAAGAAUAAGGCUCGGAGUGGAACGCCGUGCUGAUGACGUUAGUCUGCGAAUAAGCCCCGGCCAAUUACGUGCCAGCAGCCGCCGCGGUAA